rnacentral:rRNA from 1 species
GGUGGUGCAUGGCUGUCGUCAGCUCGUGUCGUGAGAUGUUGGGUUAAGUCCCGCAACGAGCGCAACCCUUGUCUUUAGUUGCCAUCAUUAAGUUGGGCACUCUAGAGAGACUGCCGGUGACAAACCGGAGGAAGGUGGGGAUGACGUCAAGUCAUCAUGCCCCUUAUGACCUGGGCUACACACGUGCUACAAUGGGCAGUACAACGAGAAGCGAACCCGCGAGGGUAAGCGGAUCUCUUAAAGCUGUUCUCAGUUCGGACUGCAGGCUGCAACUCGCCUGCACGAAGCUGGAAUCGCUAGUAAUCGCGGAUCAGCACGCCGCGGUGAAUACGUUCCCGGGCCUUGUACAC